rnacentral:tRNA from 1 species
AAGUACAUAGUGUGUCUUAAGUACAUAGUGUAAUACUAGCUUUUAAGGUAGUGUAAACUAAAAUUUUUGG